rnacentral:rRNA from 1 species
CCUACGGGGUGCUGCAGUGGGGAAUAUUGGACAAUGGGCGAAAGCCUGAUCCAGCCAUGCCGCGUGUGUGAAGAAGGCCUUCGGGUUGUAAAGCACUUUCAGUGGGGAAGAAAGCCUUGGGGCUAAUACCCUCGAGGAAGGACAUCACCCACAGAAGAAGCACCGGCUAACUCCGUGCCAGCAGCCGCGGUAAUACGGAGGGUGCGAGCGUUAAUCGGAAUUACUGGGCGUAAAGCGCGCGUAGGCGGUCUGAUAAGCCGGUUGUGAAAGCCCCGGGCUCAACCUGGGAACGGCAUCCGGAACUGUCAGGCUAGAGUGCAGGAGAGGAAGGUAGAAUUCCCGGUGUAGCGGUGAAAUGCGUAGAGAUCGGGAGGAAUACCAGUGGCGAAGGCGGCCUUCUGGACUGACACUGACGCUGAGGUGCGAAAGCGUGGGUAGCAAACAGGAUUAGAUACCCUGGUAUC